UUAUUAUAUAAUAAUAAGGAUAUUAAAAAUUAAUAGAGAUCAGCCAUGAGAAAUGAAAAUAAAUUAAAUUCACGAUUGAUGAAUUAAUAAAGUAUGGAAAUUUUUUUUUGGUGGCGACAAGUUUUACAAACAAAACAGGGACACGAUUAAUCAAAUUUCCUUCGGAAAUUUGAACCCCGUACUCCGCACGUGCCGUAACGAAAACUACAAUAUGCAAAUUAUACGCUUAUGCGAGCGGUGAUUCGAGCACACAAUAAACUAAAAAGAAUAUAAUAAUAAAAUAAAAUAAAAUAAAAACACUAAUAAAAGAUUAACUAAAUGUAGACACACGUAAUACUACUACAUAAGGGCGACUAGUACACUAACAAAUAGGGAUGUAAAUACAUAUAUAAGAAACGCGACGAUACAUUGAAUAGAAUCAAUUAAUAAAUUAAAAGUAUAUUUGGACCAUUAAAUAAUACUGAUGAAUGAACCGAACGAACUGCGAACCGAUCAAAAUAAAGAACGAAUGUAUGGGACGUAAGAGCAAGGGAACAACGUUGACAUAGCGCAAACCGGGUGAUGUGCUCUGUAUAAACCAAAAAAGCGGAGUAUAACGCGCAUCGAAUUGUCUAGAUAACCGCAACAGCAGCGGAGAUACGUUCAAUUAGAUUUAUUUGGUCUUGAGAAUUGAGGACUGUAAAUGCAUUGGAUUUGACAGGGAACAGCGUUGACAUAGCGCAAACCGGCUGAUGUGCUCUGUAUUAAGUAGCAAAUGCGGAGUACAACGCUCAUCGAAUUGUCUACGUACUCCCAAUAGCAACGGAGGUAUGUUCAACUGAAUAUUUGGCCUUGAAAAUUGAAAAAACUGUAAUUGUACGGGAUUUGACAGGGAAAGAGUUGAGAUAGUGCAAGCCGACUGAAGUACGCUGUAUUUAGCAGCAAACGUGCAGUAUAACGUGCGUAGAAUUGUCGACAUAUCCCCAAUAGCAGCGGAGAUACGUUCAAUUGAAUAUUUAACUUUGAAAAUUGAAAACUGUAAAUGCACUGGAUUUGACAGGGAACAGAAUUGACAUAGCGCAAAAAGGAUGAUGUGCUAUAUAUUAAGCAGUAGAUGUGGAGUAUAACGCGCAGUGAAUUGUCGACAUAUCCUCAAUAACAGCGGAGAUACGUUCAAUUGAAUAUUUAACCGUGAAUAUUGAAAACGAUGAUUGGAUUAGAUUUGGCAUACACUAUAUAACGUAAUUUGUUAUAGCGUUGUAUUAUAUGACGCAUACCAUAUAACGUGAUAUAUUAUAAACAAAAGUCAAAAAGUCACAGCUAGAUAACUAACUUUCUAAUUCGACAGCACCGGUUCGUCAAACAUAUGGGAGGAUUAGCGUCGAGUAUAAUUGAAAAUGGAAGGACGUCGGGAGAUCAUAAAGCUUAAGCGAGCGUAAAAAUGGCCGAUGUGAUAAAUUCGUUGCUAUCCGAGUACUACUUGCCGAAUAGGAAUCGAAACGCAAUUACUAUAGCACCGUAGAUAGUAAUUAACAUCUGAAUGAUAAUUUCGAAACAAUUGAGAGAUCAACGAUACUUUAGAAAUUCAAGUCACUUCGAAUAUGGCACUCCUGCUCGGGCAACCGAGGUGAACGGACGUAUCUAGUCGGUCGUGUGCUCCGGUGAAGUGUUCGAAGAGAAACAAAGUUAAUAGUGAUAGAGAGGUGAAGUUUAAAAAUGCAGCAGAUACCAACAAUAAAAAUUACAACCAAAGGCGAAAUGCACUAUAUAAGCAGGUCGGUAGACUCACCAAGCCUAAAACAACAACAACAAAGCAACAACAACCAAAACGAUAUGGUUAUAGAAGAAACGGAAGAGCAGUGGAGACAGGAUGGAGCGAAACCACGAUAACGAAAGAUAUUACCAGGACGAAAACUGGAAACUAGCAAAGACAAACAAGAAACGUAAAACGACACCAGGCACAAGUGCCGCAGAAAAUCUAGAUACAGAAAAUACAGCGAUGUCUGCAAGAAUUACCACUAAGAAAUUCCUUCAGCUUGCUAACUGAAGCAAUAGAUGCUGACCCGAUAAGCAAAGCUACAACUAAUUCAAGCCACAUUACAAAACCGCCACCAAUAUUUGUCGAGGCCCAAAUAAUAGACCCGCUUAUUGAACUACUAAAUAAUAUAGUCGGGAAAGAUAAUUAUAUAAUAAAACGAACUAAACUAGAUCAAGCAAAGAUCCAAACUAACACGCCUGAAAUCUAUAGAAAGGUGACAAAAGCGUUAAAAGAAAAAAAAAAUGCUGUGUACCACACGUAUCAGCUCAAAACGGAAAGGAGCUACAAGAUAGUUAUAAGAGGCUUGCACCCUAAAAGUAACAUAAAAAAAAAUUAACCGACGAACUAGCAAAAAUUGGUCAUCAAACAAGAUCAAUAAACAACAUAACUAGAUAUGACACGAAGCAACCAUUACCACUUUUCUUAAUUGAACUGCAACCCAGAAACAAUAAUAAAGAAAUAUAUGAAAUCAAAAAAAAUAUUAAACACAAUAGUAACAGUGGAACUACCACGCUACAAAAAUGCCAACAAUAUGACCACACAAAAAAUUAUUGCAACAGAAUCCCAGCAUGCGUUAAAUGUGAAAAAAAAGCCACUUAACAAAACACUGCCCAUACUUAGGAAAAAUUGAAGAAAUUAGAUGCUACAACUGUAACGGAAAACACCCAGCCAGCUAUAAAGGAUGUGAAAUCAGGAAACAAUUACAGCGUAAACUGUUUCCACCACUUCGCAAUAGAUCAAUCAAUAACCACAAAUCACAACAAAAUAUAACAGAUAGUGAUACAACAUUGAUAGCAAACAUCAAUCCCCAAAAUGUACAUCACGCUACGAACAAUAACCACAACAACUCCAACACCUUUGAUACGCGAAGCUACGCGCAAGUAACCAACCAAUCAGCGCACAUAGACAACCAAAAUCAGAGCAAUAGUAACAAUGACGCUACAGAAAUCAAGGAACUGCUCAAGCAACCCAUCGAUAACACCGAAAUGCUAACUAAAAUGAUAAGCGAGCAAAAUGCAGUUCUCAGGCAACAAACACAACAGAUCACGGUCAUGCUCCAAUUACUUACAAACAUGUUAAGCAAAAAAUAAAAACGGACACGCUAAAAAUAGCUGCCUGGAACUCAAACGGCCUACAUCAUAGGGCCCUAGAAACUAAAACAUUCCUGUACAACAACAAUAUCGACAUACUACUUGUUUCAGAAACACACUUCACUACAAAAAGCUACAUGAAAAUACUACACUAUAUAUGAUACCAAACACCCCCCAGGAAAAGCACACGGAAGGACCGCAGUGAUAAUAAGAAACGACAUAAAACACUACUUACACAGCCAAGUCAGUAAGGAAUAUAUCCAAGCAACCACCGUUACAGUACAAACUAGCAGCAGUCAUUUUCAGUUGUCAGCAGUAUAUGUACCGCCGGGACACAAAAUUACAACACAAAUGUGGGAAGAGUACUUUCAACAUUUAGGUGACAAGUUUAUUUCAACGGGAGACUAUAACUCAAAGCACACACUAUGGGGAUCAAGAAUUACUUCACCUCGAGGUAGAACCCUGGAAAAACACAUUAGAAACAAUAACCUCAAUAUAUUAUCCACAGGAAGACCGACAUACUGGCCGACAGACCUGAGCAAAAUACCUGACCUACUCGAUUUUGCAGUUACAAAGAGACUAAACGUAAAUAAACUAAAAAUAGCACCCAGUCUAGAGCUUAGUUUCGAUCAUACACCCAUAAUAAUUACAUACAGAAACAAACCAAUAAUUUAUAACAAUCCAGAUAUACUAUGAAAUAAAACCACCAAAUGGCAAUCAUUUAAAGAAAUAAUCGAGAGUAAGAUCAACUGCAACAUCCCAUUAAAAACACCCGAACACAUUGAACAGGCAGUAACAACAUUUACAGAAACUAUUCAAGAAGCAGCAUGGGCAACCACCAUACCUGAAGCAACCAAAAGACAAACAAAAAUAAUUCCUCCAGACAUCCUUGAAAAAAUCAGAGAAAAAAGAAAAGCGAAAGCAAAAUGGCAAAAACAUAGAUCACGAGAAAACAAAAAAAAACACCUAAACAAACUUGCAAAGGAAACAAAAAGCAAAAUAAAAGAGCACAAUAAUAACGAAUUCACAAAGUUCAUAGAGACACUCUCUGCACACGAGAGCUCCAACUACUCCCUAUGGAAAGCCACGAAAAAAAUAAA